UACGUAGGGAGCGAGCGUUGUCCGGAUUUACUGGGUGUAAAGGGUGCGUAGGCGGCCCUGCAAGUCAGAAGUGAAAUCUAUGGGCUUAACCCAUAAACUGCUUUUGAAACUGUGGAGCUUGAGUGAAGUAGAGGUAGGCGGAAUUCCCGGUGUAGCGGUGAAAUGCGUAGAGAUCGGGAGGAACACCAGUGGCGAAGGCGGCCUACUGGGCUUUAACUGACGCUGAGGCACGAAAGCGUGGGUAGCAAACAGG
rnacentral:rRNA from 1 species